CCUACGGGAGGCAGCAGUGGGGAAUCUUGCGCAAUGGGCGAAAGCCUGACGCAGCCAUGCCGCGUGAAUGGUGAAGGUCUUAGGAUUGUAAAAUUCUUUCAGUAGGGACGAUAAUGACGGUACCUACAGAAGAAGCCCCGGCUAACUUCGUGCCAGCAGCCGCGGUAAUACGAAGGGGGCUAGCGUUGCUCGGAAUUACUGGGCGUAAAGGGAGCGUAGGCGGGUUAUCAAGUUGGAGGUGAAAGCCCAGGGCUCAACCUUGGAAUUGCCUUCAAAACUGAUAGCCUAGAGUAUGAUAGAGGUAUGUGGAACUCCGAGUGUAGAGGUGAAAUUCGUAGAUAUUCGGAAGAACACCAGUGGCGAAGGCGACAUACUGGGUCAUGACUGACGCUGAGGCUCGAAAGCGUGGGGAGCAAAACGAGGUAUUAGACUACCCGUGGUACGUCCACGCUAGUAAACGAUGAUUGCUAGUUAGUCGGUACGGACGAUGUCGUUCGGUGUACGCGAGCUACG
rnacentral:rRNA from 1 species